UGGAAGUCAAUGUCCCAAGACUAUACCUGGAGGAGUUGGGGAUGGCUUUAUACAUGGGGUGAGGCUUGAGAAAACAUGGUGCUCAUAAGGCCAAAAGACUUUGGUAGUGGUAGUAUUGGCUCACGUUUCCUUUCAGAUAGAUUGAAAACCAUGUGCAAAGGCAAAGGAGGUGAGAGAAAGCACUCAACCCCCAAGGAAAAUAGGCCGAGGCCAGAUCAAAAAGGUCUUUAGAUAUGACACCAAAUGUCUCAACCUUCUUUCAGCUGAUGGUGUGGUGAGCGGUUCCAACACAAUACAUGCUUUGGCAACUAUUGUCACAUGCAGACCAUCUUGAGUCACAUAACGUCUUGACUUUCUUAGAUUCAAAAUAUUUUUAUAUCUUUUUUCUACUAUGUAUCCAAAGCACUUAGUUGAAUAGUUUUAUUUUAUGCCUACUUCAUGAAUACUUGACUUCUAAGAAAUAACUUUUCUUUCUCUAGCCUAUUGUAUUUACCCUACAGCCUAGCAUAGAUACACACCUAAAAAUAAUUUUUCUGGACUCAGCCUGGGAGUGAGGCUUAAAUGGCAAUUUAUUCCUGCCUCCAGCUUAUUAAAGAAAUUCCCCAGUCCCCUAUCGUCCCCUUCAUCAAUUUUGAUAAGAGUCAUCCAGAUCCAGUGACUCAGGGACAAAACAAUCACCACCUCAAGUGUUUCAUUCAAUCCUACAGACUAGAGCUCCAGGAAGACUGAAUAGAGACACCCAGGAGAGCUUUCCUGGUUGACAGCACUCCCUGCCUAUCGCCACACAUUGAUGCCAGGAGGGUGAGGUGAACUCACUUCAAGGCGAGAGGGCCGUUGAAGCUUCUGUUUGAAACCCUCUCAGACUCUGCCCUAAGCAUCUCUUCCUCUGGCUGAUUUUAAUCUGUAUCCUUUCCCUGCAAUAAACCAAAGCCAUGGGUGUAACUGUUCUGUGAGCCCUUCUAGUAAAUUUUCAAAACUGAGGGUAGUUUGUGGAUCCCCCCGCCAACCUUGAGGUUCAUGUCAGAAGUAAGAGAGGUCUUGGGGACUGUAUCCUCUAACUGUCUUGGGCAAACUCUAUUCCUCUAAACUCUUUUUUUUUUUUUAACUUUUUACACUGAUAUUCUAGAUUGUUUUUCAAUCAGUAAAGCAAACCUGAUAAAGAAGUUCUAAGAAUCAGGCCCUUCAUACCAUUUAUAGUGGAGGUUGCCUGGCAUUCUGUGUAUCAUUCUAGUUCUUAGCAUGCACAGCUAUCUCCUCUGGAUUCCAUGAGGCAGGAUUCAUCUCAGUUCCCUCUAGCACAGUGGCUAACAGAGCAGGUACUCAGAAGUGCCUGUGACUAGAGUCACAUAUAAGACAGGGUCUGUUCUCAGGAGCUCAGCAUGCACAUGUGGAGACUUCACAGGAAAAUGUAAGGACUUUCACAUUGGUGGCAUCUAGUUUCAAAGAGAAUGGCGAGUGUCUCAGUCAGCUAGGGCUGCCAUAGUAAAAUUCCACACUUCUGUUGGCGUAAGCAACAGAAAUGUACUUGCUCACAGUUCUGGAGACUGGAAGUCCAAGAUCAUAGUGCCAGCAAGGUCAUGCUCUGGUGAAGCAUCUCUUCCUGUCUUGUAAACAGACAUCAUAUUGUGUGUGUUCACAUGGCCUUUGCUUGGUGCAUCUGCAGAGAAAGAGAGGGAGAGAAAGACAAAGAGAUGGAGAGAGAGCUGUUUCUUAUAAGGGCACUAAUCCUAUCAUGGGAGCCUUACCCUCAUGACCUCAUCUCAACCUAAUGACCCUCCCAAAGCCCUGUCUCUAACUACCAUCGCAUUGCGGGCUAGGGCUUCCACAUAGGAAUUUUGGGGGGACAAAAUUCUAUUUAUAGCAGUGACUUAAUCUGAGGUGACCCAAGCAGCUUUGAAUAGGAUUGGGCCUGGUGGACACAAGAGGAAUGGAAAACAGGGUCUGAAGGUGUCGCUUGCAGGGUGACCCCAGGGCCCAGAAUGCCCAUGUCUUCUGCUCCUUAAUCUCCAUGUCCCAAGAGGUGCAUAAGGGGACACUGGGGACACAGAAAAGCCACGUCUUCAUCAGCGGAGGAAAUAGCUCAGGAAAACUCCUAUGCGUUCUUUGGUUUCCCUCAUUAUUAAGACCAAUCAUAGGAAAAUGAGAAAGGAAAAUCCACUCUUCCACCCGAUAUGUGUGUUCUUGUGACUCCCACCUGAUGGAGACGGUUGCUAGGAAACUGUGACCACAGUCUGCAGAUUCUGUCAAGGAGAAAGGACCCCCUCACCCCUGAGUUCUCCUUGAAACUCACAAAGUGCUUAGCUGCAGCCUGUGGUGCAGCAUUCAGGAGAGUUAAUGCUGGCAAUUCACAGAGAAGGGAACUGAAGAUUAGGGGCAUCAGGUAGGCAGCUGGUCAUGGCACCAGCGUGUGGCUUGGAGCCAGCUCCCCUGCUGCCCAGGGAGGUGCUGUCUCUAUUCCAUUGCACUGCCCUCAAGAAGAGGGACCUAGUUCAAAACCAGAAAGGUGAGGCUGCCAUGGUCUGCCCUUUUGGGGCACCUCUGGAAGAGGGUACCUCUUCACCGAAUGUCUUCCUUUGUGUGUUCUCACAGGAUGGCAAUCCCAGGUCUGGAUUAAUGCCUGUGUCUGCUGAAAAACAGUGGGACAGACAGUGCUGGUCCAUGGCUGCCUUCAAAAUGCUACUAAAUUUCUGUCUGCCAUAAAGUGGAGAGAAAAAGAGUGCAAAACUAAAACGGGAAGUUUCCUCAUCUAGAAAACAACGAUGAUGAUGAUGUCAGUGAUAACCUAUUUUGUACGUUCUCAUAAAUGUUUUUUAGGGUUUGAAGCAACAUGGAUCUCUCAAAUGUGAGCACCAAGACUGAAAACCACUAAGGAUAAUGAGAAGCUGUCUUUGUGCACACAUUUUGGUCUCCUCCCAUCCAUGCUGGAAAUAGCCACUUCAAUAUCAUCAGAAGGGUAUAAUGCUGGGAGACACUCUCUGGCCUCAUGGAGUUCCCUGUCCAGUUGGAUGGACACAAAGGCAAGAAGACACAGGGAGCGUGACAGCAGCUAUGAGAGGUGUUGGAGCCUGCGGCUGGGGUGGGCGCGGUGCCGGAAGGCUUCCUGAAGGGAAGGGCUUCUCCACCAGAUCCUAAAAACCAACUGGAACAGACUUUUUCCUCCUGCUAUUGGGCAUCAGAAGCCCAAGUUCUCUGGCCUUUGGACUCCAAGACCUGCAACAGUGCCAUGGUUUCCCUCCUGGCCCCAGUGGAUUUCAGUGCUGACUGAAAGUUACACCAUCAGCUUCCUUGAUUCUGAGGCCUUUGGGCAUGGACUGAGUCACCCUGCCAGCUACCCCGGUUCUCCAUAAUCAUGUUAGACAGUUCCCGUAAGUCCCUUCUUGUUAUCUCUCUAUGUAUCCUAUUGGCUCUGUGUCUCUGGAGAAUCCUCACUAAUACAUAUCCUUUGAGUUGGAUAGAAUUCUCUCCAUUUACAGAUGAGAAAACUGUGCCUCAGGGAGGCUUAAUGCUCAAAUUCAUUCGGCUAUUAAAUGGAGAGCCCCAGUUGGAAUCCAGGCCCACCGGACAUGUACUGUCUACCUGCCUUGGGUGCUGUUCCCAAGGGGCAUGAGUGUUCAUGGGUGGCAAUGGAAUCCCUAGUCCAGUUCAGUGGCGCUUACCUUUUGAAAGUUUAGAGACCUCAGGAACCUCAUGCUGAUUGGAAAUGUGCUUUUUCCUGCCUGACCUUUGAUACGGUUUCACUGUGUCCCUACCCAAAUCGCAUGUUGAAUGGUGAUCCUGAGUGUUGGAGGUGAGACCUGGUGGGAGGUGAUUGGAUCAUGGGGGUGGUUUCUAAUGGUUUAGCACCA
rnacentral:lncRNA from 1 species